rnacentral:rRNA from 2 species
GGCAAGACGACAUACUAGUACAUGCAGUCGUACGAACUCUGGUAUUGAUUGGUGCUUGCAUCAUGAUUUACAUUUGAGUGAGUGGCGAACUGGUGAGUAACACGUGGGAAACCUGCCCAGAAGCGGGGGAUAACACCUGGAAACAGAUGCUAAUACCGCAUAACAACUUGGACCGCAUGGUCCGAGUUUGAAAGAUGGCUUCGGCUAUCACUUUUGGAUGGUCCCGCGGCGUAUUAGCUAGAUGGUGAGGUAACGGCUCACCAUGGCAAUGAUACGUAGCCGACCUGAGAGGGUAAUCGGCCACAUUGGGACUGAGACACGGCCCAAACUCCUACGGGAGGCAGCAGUAGGGAAUCUUCCACAAUGGACGAAAGUCUGAUGGAGCAACGCCGCGUGAGUGAAGAAGGGUUUCGGCUCGUAAAACUCUGUUGUUAAAGAAGAACAUAUCUGAGAGUAACUGUUCAGGUAUUGACGGUAUUUAACCAGAAAGCCACGGCUAACUACGUGCCAGCAGCCGCGGUAAUACGUAGGUGGCAAGCGUUGUCCGGAUUUAUUGGGCGUAAAGCGAGCGCAGGCGGUUUUUUAAGUCUGAUGUGAAAGCCUUCGGCUCAACCGAAGAAGUGCAUCGGAAACUGGGAAACUUGAGUGCAGAAGAGGACAGUGGAACUCCAUGUGUAGCGGUGAAAUGCGUAGAUAUAUGGAAGAACACCAGUGGCGAAGGCGGCUGUCUGGUCUGUAACUGACGCUGAGGCUCGAAAGUAUGGGUAGCAAACAGGAUUAGAUACCCUGGUAGUCCAUACCGUAAACGAUGAAUGCUAAGUGUUGGAGGGUUUCCGCCCUUCAGUGCUGCAGCUAACGCAUUAAGCAUUCCGCCUGGGGAGUACGGCCGCAAGGCUGAAACUCAAAGGGAAUUGACGGGGGCCCGCACAAGCGGUGGAGCAUGUGGUUUUAAUUUCGAAGCUACGCGAAAGAACCUUACCAGGUCUUUGACAUACUAUGCAAAUCUAGAG